GGUGGAGCGAUCUGUCUGGUUAAUUCCGAUAACGAACGAGACUCUCCUCUGCUAAAUAGUCGGCUGGAUCUUGUAUUGCUGAGUGAUUCAUUGCUGACGCUUGCGUGCCCGUGGUAUUGGCUUUGCUUCGACAGUGGGUGUUUAGGCACUCAUUGGUGGGGCAUCUUACUGCGGUGUUUCGUGGGUGUAUUUGCGUGACACUCCAAGUCCGUCGGCUCACACCCGCAUGAAAUACUGUGGGUUGUGUGUGGUAUAAACUCUUCUUAGAGAGAUUGACGGUUCUUAGAAGCCGUACGAGAAUGAGAGCAAUAACAGGUCUGUGAUGCCCUUAGAUGCCCUGGGCCGCACGCGCGCUACAAUGCUGGACACAGCAGGUCUAUCCUGUUCCGACAGGAGCAGGUAACCCUGUCAAAGUCCUGAGGUUUUUUUCGAGUAUCACUUUGUGUGGUACAGUGAGCGUGCUUGGGCCUGGGGCUUGCAAUUCUUUCCCACUAACAAGGAAUGCCCUGUAAUGGCGAGUCACUGAGCUCGCUGUGACUUAGUCCCUGCCCUUUGUACACACCGCCCGUCGCUACUACCGAUUGGGUGUACCAGUGAGAACCUUGGACUGGCGUCCGGUGUGCCUUCACGGGCCACCUGGGUUUCUGACGGAAAGAGGUUCGAACUGGUGCACUUAGAGGAAGUAAAAGUCGUAACAAGGUUUCCGUAGGUGAACCUGCGGAAGGAUCAUUA
rnacentral:rRNA from 1 species